GAAGCGUCUCCCCUCCGCAGAAUAAUUUGUCAUUCCUAUCAAUGCAGCAGUUGGAAUUUGCACAAUGGGGAAACCCUGAGCAGCGAUCCGCGGAGUGAUGAAGGCCUUCGGGUCGUAAAGCUCUGUCAGGUGGGAUGAUAAUGACGGUACCAUCAAAGGAAGCUCCGGCUAACUCUGUGCCAGCAGCCGCGGUAAUACAGAGGGUGCAAGCGUUGUUCGGAAUCAUUGGGCGUAAAGCGCAUGUAGACGGUAUGUUAAGUAGGAUGUGAAAUCCAUUGGCUUAACCCAGGAAUGACAUUCUAAACUGACAUGCUCGAGUACGAGAGAGGGCAGUGGAAUUCCUGUUGUAGAGGUGAAAUUCGUAGAUAUCAGGAAGAACACCGGUGGCGAAGGUGACUGCCUGGCUUGACACUGACGUUUAGAUGCGAAAGCGUGGGGAGCAAACAGGAUUAGAUAUCCUGGUAGUCCACGCUGUAUAUGAUGGGUACUAGAUGGUGGUUGGUUGCCCAGAUCACUAUCCAAGCUAAGGCAUUAUGUACCCCCCCUCGGGAGUACGGUCGCAAGACUAC
rnacentral:rRNA from 1 species